UACGGAGGGUGCAAGCGUUGUUCGGAAUCAUUGGGCGUAAAGCGAGCGUAGGCGGGAUGGUAAGUCGGGUGUGAAAGCCCUCGGCUCAACCGAGGAAGUGCACUCGAAACUACCAUUCUUGAGUACUGGAGAGGGAAGCGGAAUUCCCGGUGUAGAGGUGAAAUUCGUAGAUAUCGGGAGGAACACCAGUGGCGAAGGCGGCUUCCUGGACAGAUACUGACGCUGAGGCUCGAAAGCGUGGGGAGCAAACAGG
rnacentral:misc_RNA from 1 species